UUGUGCGUGAGCCGUGAGAGGUGAAGAAAAGCGCGGGAAAUUGGUGAACCGCCCGGAGCGACGGAGAGAGAUGGCCAACACAAGGGAUCUGGAGCUGGAAAGGGCGAGACUGCUUAGCUUAGCCACUAAUUUUGGAUUCGACGAGUCAUCGUCCAACAAAUGCUUGGAUCGUUUUCUUCAAUUAUAUGGCGAUGAUGGGCAAGCCUUCAUCACCGUGGAGCACUGCGGUGAUGAUUUUCUUGAAGCACUUGCCGAGUCCAUGCAAGACACUGAAGACUGGGAUGAUUUACUAGCUAUGGAAUCCGAGGCUUGUGGAACUUUGGCUGAUAUUCUUGACAAGAAGACUCCCAAUAUUAGUGAACUUAGUAAUGAUCAGUCCAGACGCCAUGUUUUGGAAGAUUAUCCAGCAUCAAAGAAAGACCACAAUUCCAUGGAUUUGGAUUCUUCAAUUGAAAGCAAAGAGUUGUGCUUCAGGACUCCCAAUACCAUCAAUAUGGAUGCUGGAUUUAAGACUAGCCAAAAUAAUAGAAAGAGAGAGGGCUUACAUCUCAAUUCAACUGAAGAUCCAUAUAAAUCUUCAAAUCGCAAGAGCAGCAUAAAUUGUCUUUCAAAUGCAUCGUCUUCCAAAGUCCUGGCCUCAAAAAUAUCACAAAAUGAAAGUGAAAUGCUGGGGUUGGAAGAACUGAAGGCGUUGGAUGAAAUUGAAUUGGCAAAUGUUGUUAUAUUUGGUAACAAGAGAUUUCGGCCAUUGCAGUAUGAGGCUUGUAAGGCAUUGGUGGCCAAGCAGGAUAGUUUUAUUCUUAUGCCUACUGGUGGUGGUAAAAGCCUAUGCUAUCAGCUUCCAGCGACUCUCCAACCAGGUGUAACUGUUGUUAUAUCUCCACUACUUUCCCUUAUUCAGGAUCAGAUAAUUACACUAAACCUAAAGUUUGGUGUACCUGCAACCUUCUUGAAUUCACAACAGACUUCUUCCCAAUCAGCAACUAUUAUGCAAGAAUUAAGGAAAGAUAAACCUUCAUGCAAGCUGUUGUAUGUAACUCCUGAGAGGAUUUCUGGAAAUGCUUCCUUUCUUAAUAUCUUAAAUUGCCUUUAUCAGAAGGGUCUACUAACAGGAUUUGUUGUGGAUGAAGCACAUUGUGUAAGCCAAUGGGGUCAUGAUUUUCGCCCAGAUUAUAGGAGUUUAGGGUGUCUUAAGCAGAACUUUCCUGAUGUUCCAGUGAUGGCACUAACAGCUACAGCAACCCAAUCUGUUCGCGAGGACAUUUUAAAUUCCUUGAAAAUUCCCAGAGCACUUGUCCUCCAGACUAGUUUUGACAGGCCCAACUUGAAGUAUGAGGUGACCCUGAAGACUGAAGAGCCACUGAAACAACUUGGAGAUCUUCUAAAGGAUCGUUUCAAGAAUUCUUGUGGAAUUGUUUAUUGUCUUUCAAAAAGUGAAUGCGCGGAAGUGUCAAACUUUCUGAAUAAUAAAUGUAAGGUAAAGACUGUGUACUAUCAUGCUGGGUUGGCAGCCCGCCAGAGGAUACUUGUACAGAAGAAAUGGCACACGGGAGAGGUGAAUGUUAUUUGCGCCACCAUAGCUUUUGGAAUGGGAAUAGACAAGCCCGAUGUUCGUUUUGUUAUACACAAUACACUGUCAAAAUCAAUUGAGAGUUAUUAUCAAGAGUCGGGAAGAGCAGGAAGAGACAAUCUUCCAUCAGUAUGUGUUGUGCUGUACAAGAAGAAGGAUUUCAGCAGAGUUGUUUGCAUGUUACGCAGCGGACAGGGAUACAAAAGCAACAGAUUUAAGACGGGCAUGCUUCAGGCAGAGAAAAUGAAGAAAUACUGCGAACUUAAGGAAGGAUGUCGUAGGAAGACCUUAAUAGAGCACUUUGGAGAGUCCUUCAAUAGCAAUGGCUGUAAAUAUGGUCCAAAUCCCUGUGAUAAUUGUAUGAAAGGUUCCAAGUGAAUGACUGGUUCAAGUAUAAGUAAGUAGAUGUUAAUUUUGGAUCAAAAGGUACAGUGAAAGUAUAUUAGUAUCCCAUUUAUGUAUACUAUUUAUUUUGUCCAAAGUUUUUAAGUGUAAGAGGAGGAGGAAGAGGAGAGCUUCCAUUUUGCAAGGCAAUGUGGUGUUUCAUUGAGGACACCUAUGGCUGCUGAACUGGUGAUUAUGGCCUUAUCCUUUUGUCAGAUCAUUCAAAGGAUGAUGAUGAUGGACUUGGAUCUUAGAUUUACAUGGUGACAGAGGGUGUUUGGGACACUUUUUGACUUGAGGCACAUGCAACUGUUUUGUUGUAUUCAUUUCUAUUUGUUUUAAUAAUUUUAGUAGAUAAAUAAUUAUUGUGAUUGAAAUA